UACGUAGGUGACAAGCGUUAUCCGGAAUUACUGGGCGUAAAGCGCACGCAGGCGGCUGCGUAAGUCUGACGUGAAAUCUCCCGGCUUAACCUGGGAACUGCAUUUGUGACUGCAUUGCUGGAGUGCGGCAGAGGGGGAUGGAAUUCCGCGUGUAGCAGUGAAAUGCGUAGAUAUGCGGAGGAACACCGAUGGCGAAGGCAAUCCCCUGGGCCUGCACUGACGCUCAUGCACGAAAGCGUGGGGAGCAAACAGG
rnacentral:rRNA from 1 species